UAUAAAGUACACAAAUACUCGCUAAAAAGCAAAGAUUAUAUAACCCCCAUUUAGCACAAAAAGGAUGCCUUUAUGAUGUCCAUCUGCAGCCAAAUUCUGCCUACAUUCCAUCUCAGAGCAUAUAGAUAAGUGCAUUUCUCAAAUUCUGUGGAGGCUAUAGAACUUAAAUAUGAAGACACAUUACUGGUUUCAUUAGAAGCUGUAAUAUACUUGAUUUCAGAGACUGGAUCUUUGUCACAAGGUCUGCAUUAACUCCCAUUUGUUCUUAUUCUGAGGAAAAUAAAGCGUAUUUCUGGAAUUGAAACCUUGAUCUACCAGAGGAAGGAAUUUGCCUUUGGGCUCCUGAUGAGACACAGAGUGCUAAGUGUCUGUGGUUGAGAGAGACUACAAAAAAGGAAAAGCAGAGAUACAACGAUGCGUUACUUGUGGACACCACAGGAUAAGAGCUCUCCUUCAAUAUUACUCCUGCUGUCCAAUUUAUUUCACAAGGGAGUAAAUGUUACAAUGUUUGCCCACAUGACUGGUUUAUCUCUGCAAGCCUGGCUGCACACUGUAAAUGGCAAACACAGCUACAGUACUAGUCAGCAGUGGAAUGUGAUGGUUCUGUCCUCCACCAUAUAAUUUAAAACCUGCUCUCACCCUUGGCAAAUCUCUCAAUUAAAAUCCCAAUCACAGCUUUUCUUGGGCUUUUGGAUAUCAUAAGCCCAAGGGGAGAAACACUGUUUUCUACUAAAAAAAUCAGGCGGUGCUUCAUCUCUACCCAAUAUAUUAGUCAUGCAGAAAAAAAUGCAUUAAAAGAAAUUCAUGUUUCUUAGAAUGAGGUAACUCAGAGCUUGCAAAGCUGCCAGUCUGUAUUUUCAGUUCAACAGGAUAAAGGAACUGGACAUGUAAAAAUAAUUUUCUUGCAAAUUGUACCAAGAUGACUUUAAACAGCUAAAUAAUUGCAAUUACAAUGACAUUAUUUUCAGGCCUUUAAGGAAAAAAAAUGAGGUUAUGUAAGAAUGAAGUGCAACAGAAGUAUUUGUUCUUUCAUAUUUUUGAACAUUUGGAUGUGAUUUGUCACUGUGUUUACGUUUAGAUGCUUUGUGGAUCAAGGCAUGAUGGAGGAAUUAGGUUUCACUUAUAUGAAAAUUCAGGCAAGAUUAAUUUUGUUCUGUAGCCUUUUUUAAGCCUGGGUUUUAACAUUCCACAUCAACUGUCACACUGAGACAGGGGUUAGGUGAACAUCUGCCAGUAGCACCACAAGCAGUAUUGGUGAUUUUGAGUAGUAACUGGAAUUGGAAGUUUUGCUGAAAAUUAUGAGGUUAAAUAAUAACAAAAAAUCAAAACUUAAAAAAAAAAAUUUGUUUUCAUCUGUCCUGUUUUCUUAAGCGUUCACAUUUCAAAACUUAUCCAUGUGCCCAUAAGAGCUGGAAAAAAAAAUUUCUCAUGCAUUGAAAAAGAGAAGCUGAGUUUCCCAUGUUCCAGGAGCUGGGACUGCUGAAAGGACAACAGAAUAAAUUUUGAGAAUUGCAAUGUUCUGUAACAGAAAUAGUUGGUGAGAGUUAAAAUAGCAUCACGUUCUUUUGGCUGCAUAACUUUGAUAUUUAAAUUAUCUGCUGCAUUCCCUUCCUCUGAUAACUGAACCUUAUGUAAUGGAAAACAAUAAUCUAAUAUCCUAAUAGACUUUUAACAUGGCCAUUAGCCAGCACGUCCAGUGGAAAUAAAUGCCUAUAUUAUUAGUCCAAUCUAUCACGAGAUCUUGCAGCAUUUGGGACAUUCCCUUGGGUCAUCAUUGCACACACCUCCUAUAAUAAAUCUUAAAUUGUGACAAAUAAUGUCUUUUUCCUGUGGAUACCCCCUCUCUUCUAUAUCUGUUUGUUUUCUAAAAUAUAGUGGAUUUUUUAUGCAGCGGGAAAAAUGGUGGUUAAUGAAUGAUAAAAAAAUAUAAUUUAUCCUAUUAAAGCCCAGUCUUUGUUUUCUGUUUCUGUGUGGUUUAGACCUUG
ensembl:lncRNA